GAUGAACGCUGGCGGCGUGCCUAAUACAUGCAAGUCGAGCGAACAGACGAGGAGCUUGCUCCUCUGACGUUAGCGGCGGACGGGUGAGUAACACGUGGAUAACCUACCUAUAAGACUGGGAUAACUUCGGGAAACCGGAGCUAAUACCGGAUAAUAUAUUGAACCGCAUGGUUCAAUAGUGAAAGACGGUUUUGCUGUCACUUAUAGAUGGAUCCGCGCCGCAUUAGCUAGUUGGUAAGGUAACGGCUUACCAAGGCAACGAUGCGUAGCCGACCUGAGAGGGUGAUCGGCCACAAUGGCACUGAGACACGGUCCAGACUCCUACGGGAGGCAGCAGUAGGGAAUCUUCCGCAAUGGGCGAAAGCCUGACGGAGCAACGCCGCGUGAGUGAUGAAGGUCUUCGGAGCGUAAAACUCUGUUAUUAGGGAAGAACAAAUGUGUAAGUAACUAUGCACGUCUUGACGGAACCUAAUCAGAAAGCCACGGCUAACUACGUGCCAGCCGCCGCCGUAA
rnacentral:rRNA from 1 species